rnacentral:rRNA from 1 species
GACGAACGCUGGCGGCGUGCUUAACACAUGCAAGUCGAACGGAAAGGCCCCCAUCUUGGUGGGGGUGCUCGAGUGGCGAACGGGUGAGUAACACGUGGGUGAUCUGCCCUGUACUUCGGGAUAAGCUUGGGAAACUGGGUCUAAUACCGGAUAGGACCAUGGUUUAGUUUCUCCUGGUGGAAAGAUCAUUUUUUUUGUGCCGUAUGAGCUCGCGGCCUAUCAGCUUGUUGGUGGGGUAAUGGACUACCAAGGCGUCGACGGGUAGCCGGCCUGCGAGGGGGGACGGUCGAAUUGGGACAGGGACACGGCUCAGACGGCUACGGGAGGCAGCAGUGGGGAAGAUAGCACAAUGGGCCCGAGCCUGCAGCAGCGAGGCCGCGAGGAGGAUGACGGGCUUGGGGUGCUCUGCUACUUGCGAUAGAGAAGAAGCCACGUUUCUAGGGUGUGGUGAACGUAACUUUGUCAAGAAGCACCGGCUAACUACGUG